CGUGUAGGCGGUCAGGUAAGUGGAAUGUGAAAUUCCCCGGCUCACCCGGGGACCGGCAUCCCAAACUGCCUGGCUUGAGUAUGGGAGAGGAUGGAGGAAUUCCUGGUGUAGCGGUGAAAUGCGUAGAUAUCAGGAGGAACACCGGUGGCGAAGGCGUCCAUCUGGCCCAAUACUGACGCUGAGGCGCGAAAGCUAGGGGAGCAAACGG
rnacentral:rRNA from 1 species